rnacentral:rRNA from 1 species
AUUGAACGCUGGCGGAAUGCUUUACACAUGCAAGUCGAACGGUAGAGGGGGCAACCCCUUGAGAGUGGCGAACGGGUGAGUAAUAUAUCGGAACGUGCCCAGUCGUGGGGGAUAACGUAGUGAAAAUUACGCUAAUACCGCAUACGAUCUAAGGAUGAAAGCGGGGGAUCGCAAGACCUCGCGCGACUGGAGCGGCCGAUAUCAGAUUAGGUAGUUGGUAGGGUAAAGGCCUCCCAAGCCAACGAUCCGUAGCUGGUUUGAGAGGACGACCAGCCACACUGGAACUGAGACCCGGUCCAGACUCCUACGGGAGGCAGCAGUGGGGAAUUUUGGACAAUGGGCGAAAGCCUGAUCCAGCCAUUCCGCGUGCAGGAUGAAGGCCCUCGGGUUGUAAACUGUUUUUGUUCAGAAAGAAAACGUCUGUUUUAAUACUAUGGGCUCAUGACGGUACUGUAAGAAUAAGCACCGGCUAACUACGUGCCAGCAGCCGCGGUAAUACGUAGGGUGCAAGCGUUAAUCGGAAUUACUGGGCGUAAAGCGUGCGCAGGCGGUUAUAUAAGUCAGAUGUGAAAUCCCCGGGCUCAACCUGGGAACUGCAUUUGAGACUGUAUAGCUAGAGUACGGUAGAGGGGGAUGGAAUUCCGCGUGUAGCAGUGAAAUGCGUAGAUAUGCGGAGGAACACCGAUGGCGAAGGCA